AUUGAACGCUGGCGGCAGGCCUAACACAUGCAAGUCGAGCGAGCGGCGGACGGGUGAGUAAUGUAUGGGGACUGCCCGAUAGAGGGGGAUAACUACUGGAAACGGUGGCUAAUACCGCAUACUAUCGGAUAACCCAGAUGGGAUUAGCUAGUAGGUGGGGUAAAGGCUCACCUAGGCGACGAUCUCUAGCUGGUCUGAGAGGAUGAUCUGCCACACUGGGACUUGGAAACUGCCCCGACUCCUACGGGGGCAGCAGUGGGGAAUAUUGCACAAUUGGCGCAAGCCUGAUGCAGCCAUGCCGCUUGUAUUAAGAAGGCCUUAGGGUUGUAAAGUUCUUUUGUUAGGGAAGCGGUACCUAAAGAAUAAGCACCGGCUAACUACGUGCCAGCAGCCGCGGUAAUAC
rnacentral:rRNA from 1 species